rnacentral:rRNA from 1 species
CACGUAGGGUGCGAGCGUUGUCCGGAAUCAUUGGGCGUAAAGAGCUCGUAGGCGGCUUAGUAAGUCGGGUGUGAAAACCCCAGGCUCAACCUGGGGACGCCACCCGAUACUGCUAUAGCUAGAGUCCAGUAGGGGAGUGUGGAAUUCCCAGUGUAGCGGUGAAAUGCGCAGAUAUUGGGAGGAACACCAGCGGCGAAGGCGGCACUCUGGGCUGGUACUGACGCUGAGGAGCGAAAGCGUGGGUAGCGAACAGG